rnacentral:rRNA from 1 species
CCUACGGGAGGCUGCAGUGGGGAAUAUUGCACAAUGGGCGCAAGCCUGAUGCAGCCAUGCCGCGUGUGUGAAGAAGGCCUUCGGGUUGUAAAGCACUUUCAGCGGGGAGGAAGGCGGUGAGGUUAAUAACCUCAUCGAUUGACGUUACCCGCAGAAGAAGCACCGGCUAACUCCGUGCCAGCAGCCGCGGUAAUACGGAGGGUGCAAGCGUUAAUCGGAAUUACUGGGCGUAAAGCGCACGCAGGCGGUCUGUCAAGUCGGAUGUGAAAUCCCCGGGCUCAACCUGGGAACUGCAUUCGAAACUGGCAGGCUAGAGUCUUGUAGAGGGGGGUAGAAUUCCAGGUGUAGCGGUGAAAUGCGUAGAGAUCUGGAGGAAUACCGGUGGCGAAGGCGGCCCCCUGGACAAAGACUGAUGCUCAGGUGCGAAAGCGUGGGGAGCAAACAGGAUUAGAUACCCUAGUAGUC